UACGUAGGGUGCAAGCGUUGUCCGGAAUUAUUGGGCGUAAAAGAGCUUCUAGAGCGGUUUUGUCGCGUCUGCCUGUAGCGGAAUUCCAAGGCCGUAACCUGGCUGCGGUGGGUACGGGGCAGACUAGAGUGUGGUAGGGGGAGACUGGAAUUCCUGGUGUAGCGGUGAAAUGCGCAGAUAUCAGGAGGAACACCGUGGCGAAGGCGGGCUCUG
rnacentral:rRNA from 1 species